UCCGAGUGGAUAUGCUGCAGAAAAGAAGGCGUCAAAAAUGGCUGCAAACAAAACUAAAGUAAAUAUUUAUGCUUACAACUCACAUUAUGUAAAAUAAUACAUGUUUUUCCAGGGAAUACCUGCACAUGAGAAGGGUGCGCCACAAAGCAAAAGACUGGAUUGAUAUUGAUUGGGAAGGGGCGGUGAUGAAACAUCCACUGCAAAAGGAUGGAAGCAGUUGUGGUGUCAUCGUAGCCAAGGUAAUUUACGGGAUACAAUUGAGCAUAAUUGGACUUGAAACCUACUCUAUUAACAAAAUUAUGUCUAGAUGGCAAAGGAAAUUAUUCAGACGUUUCUAAGGAUCCCCAAUAUAAUGUUUUCUACAACGACAGACAGCAUGAGAACUGAAAGAAAAACAAUGGCCCUUGAACUUCUGCAGGGAUCAGUUUUCCAAAUGGAUUCCUGGUGUGUGAUCUGUGCCUCCAAAGACCCACCUACAUCUACUGCUGCCACAGCUACAUAGACUGUGAAGAGUGAUACUGGUUGGAUUUAAUGUGACAUAUGUGACCGGUGGUUUCACGGGGAAUGCGUUGGAAUAAAAAUUGACGAUCUCAAGAAAGCGGAAGAUAAUCACUGGCUUUGUCCUCUGUGC